rnacentral:rRNA from 1 species
AGGACGAACGCUGGCGGCGUGCCUAAUACAUGCAAGUCGAACGGUCUUUCUAUGGAAGCUUGCUUCCACUGAGAAGAUAGUGGCGAACGGGUGAGUAACACGUGGGUAACCUGCCCAUAAGAGGGGGAUAACAUCCGGAAACGGGUGCUAAUACCGCAUAGUUUUCUUGAUCGCAUGAUCGGGAAAGGAAAGACGGCCUUUGUGCUGUCGCUUAUGGAUGGACCCGCGGCGUAUUAGUUAGUUGGUGAGGUAAUGGCUCACCAAGACGAUGAUACGUAGCCGACCUGAGAGGGUGAUCGGCCACAUUGGGACUGAGACACGGCCCAAACUCCUACGGGAGGCAGCAGUAGGGAAUCUUCCGCAAUGGACGAAAGUCUGACGGAGCAACGCCGCGUGAGUGAAGAAAGGGUUUUCGGAUCGUAAAACUCUGUUGUCAGAGAAGAACAAGUUGGAGAGUAACUGCUCCAGCCUUGACGGUAUCUGACCAGAAAGCCACGGCUAACUACGUGCCAGCAGCGGC